rnacentral:rRNA from 1 species
GCUGUUAAGGGUUCGUAGUUGAAUACAGAGUUGGGGCUUUAGAUGGAUUCGUCUGUCCUUGUUCUCACUCUGUCAUAGACGGGAGUGGAGGCCUGCGGAUGCGCUCCUUUGCUGGACUGCUGUGCUGUUGGGUGAAGAGCUCAACAUAUGCGCGUGUGAUUCACGCUAGCCCGCCCGUCGUUUCACUGUGAAGAAAACAGCGUGUUCAAGGCAGCCGCCUGCGGCGGUAUGAUAAAGCUGGAAUGACAAAGCAGCGACCAGUGGACCUGUCUUUUGUCGGUUUUUACGAUCCAUUUGGCAAUUUGUUUCCAAAGCUUUCUUUUCACAGUUCACUGUGUUAGAACUUUGGCGAACCGGGAUUAACGGGGGUUGUCGGGGGAAAACGUAUCUGAGCGUGAGAGGUGAAAUUCUUAGCCGCUCGGGGACGAACUACUGCGAAGGCAUUUUCCAAGUAUACCUUCAUCAAUCAAGACUAAAGUGUGGAGAUCGAAGAUGAUUAGAGACCAUUGUAGUCC